rnacentral:rRNA from 1 species
UAGGGANUCUUCCACAAUGGGCGCAAGCCUGAUGGAGCAACACCGCGUGAGUGAAGAAGGGUUUCGACUCGUAAAGCUCUGUUGUUAAAGAAGAACACGUAUGAGAGUAACUGUUCAUACGUUGACGGUAUUUAACCAGAAAGUCACGGCUAACUACGUGCCAGCAGCCGCGGUAAUACGUAGGUGGCAAGCGUUAUCCGGAUUUAUUGGGCGUAAAGAGAGUGCAGGCGGUUUUCUAAGUCUGAUGUGAAAGCCUUCGGCUUAACCGGAGAAGUGCAUCGGAAACUGGAUAACUUGAGUGCAGAAGAGGGUAGUGGAACUCCAUGUGUAGCGGUGGAAUGCGUAGAUAUAUGGAAGAACACCAGUGGCGAAGGCGGCUACCUGGUCUGCAACUGACGCUGAGACUCGAAAGCAUGGGUAGCGAACAGGAUUAGAUACCCUGGUAGUCCAUGCCGUAAACGAUGAGUGCUAGGUGUUGGAGGGUUUCCGCCCUUCAGUGCCGGAGCUAACGCAUUAAGCACUCCGCCUGGGGAGUACGACCGCAAGGUUG